rnacentral:misc_RNA from 1 species
UAAGUCGUAACAAGGUAGCCGUAUCGGAAGGUGCGGCUGGAUCACCUCCUUUUGAGCAUGACGUCAUCGUCCUGUCGGGCGUCCUCACAAAUUACCUGCAUUCAGAGAUGCGUAUCGGCACAGGCCGGUAUGCGAAAGUCCCAUCAUGGGGCCUUAGCUCAGCUGGGAGAGCACCUGCUUUGCAAGCAGGGGGUCGUCGGUUCGAUCCCGACAGGCUCCACCAUUUGAGUGAAACGACUUUGGGUCUGUAGCUCAGGUGGUUAGAGCGCACCCCUGAUAAGGGUGAGGUCGGUGGUUCGAGUCCUCCCAGACCCACCACUCUGAAUGUAGUGCACACUUAAGAAUUUAUAUGGAUCAGCGUUGAGGCUGAGACAUGUUCUUUUAUAACUUGUGACGUAGCGAGCGUUUGAGAUAUCUAUCUAAACGUGUCGUUGAGGCUAAGGCGGGGACUUCGAGUCCCUAAAUAAUUGAGUCGUAUGUUCGCGUUGGUGGCUUUGUACCCCACACAACACGACAUAUGAUCCUGAGGCAACUUGGGGUUAUAUGGUCAAGCGAAUAAGCGCACACGGUGGAUGCCUUGGCACAA